GGCCUUGAGCAGCACGGUCUGGUGGGAGAUUGCUUUGCCUAGCAUGGGAAGUGGGUUGAGACAGGAUGGUCUUCAAAGUCCAUUCCAACCUCUUGACAUUCUAUGGUUCUGUGAUUCUCACACAGACCUUGAAAUAAGCAGGUGCAUAGACAAAUUUCUCAUCAGUAAAAGCAAAUGUUUAGUUUCAUCAGGGCUCCGUGAUACUGCUGGAAGUUGUGCAGCACAUUUAUUUGCAGUGAACUUGAGAACGUCCCACCCUAAAGGCAACAUGCUCAGACUCUGUUGUGCUGUGUUAUGGUGGCACCAGAAUGAAUCCUCAUGAACUCUACAGCACUUGUUUCUUUCCCCACAUCAGCCAUGGCAAGACCUGGUUGUGUCAUCGGCACUGAACAAAGAAAGGAACCAUGGUCCAUAACAGAAACCAGGUAGCACACGGUUCUGUAUGCUGCAAUAAAAGACUGCUUGGAUUGGCCAUCCUCCUGUUUUGGGACUUAGAAUUACCAUUGUGUUGCAAAACUAAGGAUCAAAUUAAUAUGCCUUGGUGUUUACAGUUGAGUUUAGGUCUCUAAGCAACACUGCCAUGGUGUCUGCUUUGUCCUCCGUGCACACCAGCAGAUAUACAAGCAUGAAACCAGUCAAAUAAAAGCAGUAACAAUGGAGGUAGGAGGCAUCCCUCUGUCUGAAGGAAUACUUCCUUUUCUUACCUGUAUCCUUCUGAAGAGCUCCAGCGCCAACAGUGAUGUUAACUGUGCCCGAGAGAAUCUUUGCUUUGGCGACAGGCAGGACAACCACUCCUAAUAUAUAUGGGUCAGUGAACGCUGCACAAGAAGCACAGAAACCAGGAAGAACACGACUGAUGUAAUCAGCAUUUAAUUUAAGGAGAUGGCUUCAACAACCUGUAGAAAAACUGAGCAUAUAACUAACUGCAAUGGAUAGGAAAGUAAAACAGCUUCAGGUAGUUCAUUACUGCUACGGACAGAAACUCUUGAGAUCUGCCAGUGGGAAUUGACAGGAGAGAAAAACCUCUUAGUCAACAAUUGUGGGACAUGUGAAAAUCACUCUGUAGUGGUAGCAGUGUGUCUAGGUCCAUUGUUACAUAGAUAUGCUCCAAUGCUCUUCUAAGAAAAAAGGCCACUUCCAGUCAGUUUUGAAGACAUAGUAUGUACAAUUAAAGAAGAGAGAGAAGACUCUCUAGUGUAGUCUCUGGACUGUUUCUGUAAUCUCUUGAGGCCACACUUGAACAAAAAAGAAUAUUUUCCUUAAGAAGCAUUAUCACAUGGAUUUAAGGUGAGCAGGAUUAUCAGAAGAAAAAUAAAAUUAACAAAUGCAUGAAGCAAGCUAGUGAGUGAAAAUAUCAGAUUCAGAAAUGUCACAUUGACAGAUUGAAACAGAUAGUGAUAACAUGGAACCAGGAGGCUCUCAGGCUUUUCUUACUACUUGGAUUCAUUGUAUGACAUCAUACUUAUAAUCUUCUGACGGCAACCUGACUUUUUGUACAAUCUGACAUGGUACUUAACUGUUUAUUCACAUCAAACAUAACACAUGAAAGUGAGAAGUUUGUAGCGUUUUUAACAAGGGUAUUUUCCUUCUCAACCUGCACUUGUUAAGAAGAUGAGAGACGUGAAAAAAACCAGAGUGGUUUCUAAAGAAUUCAGACUGCAGAAGUGGUUUUCCUCCCUCUGAAUGUCAUCUACUUGCCAUGCUUUUGUUUUUUUUAUAUGCGGAGAGACUAGUGCAGAGAUAUUACAUGAAUCAUAUACAAGUAUAGAUCAUAUCAUAUUAUCAGUAUAGAAAGAGAAAAUUCCUUACUGGACUCUCAUAUACAAACCAUUAUUUUUGAUUUCCAUGUAUGUAUCACUGUGUUGCUAGGACUUACUGUAAAAUUUAUUGUUGACACAGAAAUUGAUAUAGAUUAAUAUAUAUACCAAAAGACUGUACCUCCCUGCCAUACCCUUUUUAACACUUGCACUGAUGAGUUAUUCUAUAGGCAAUUAAGAGACAUCUCUGGAUUGUUAGCCCUUGUCCUUGCGGGAGACUUCAAAUUCACAGACAUUUACUGGAAAUGCCAUACUGAUUUUACAGGCAAGUCUGGGCAAUUCCAAGAGCUACUUCAGGAUAAUUUCUUGCCACAAAUCCUCCAACUAGAAAAGAUUCCUUCCUAUAUAUGUUUAUAGAGAAGUACUCAUGCAUAUGAUAGUAGGUGUUUGUCUUGACCGAAGUGAUGAUGAAAUGGUUUGAGUUCAAAAUUCUUAAUGUAAUGAGAAAAAAAGUUCAACAGGGUUUCUAGUGUGAAUUUCAAGAGAGCAAAUUCUCAGCUACCCAAGUAGCUACUUUGCACUGUUCCCUAGGAAUAUGCUUUGGAGGCCUCUAUGGGUGCUGGUCAGUCUUAAAGAACCACUAUUGAUAAGUGUGGAAGCAGGCCAUCCUAUUGUGUCACAGGUCAAGCAAGAGGGACAAGCUUGGCUUAACAGGGAACUCCUCUUGGAACUCAAGAAUUAAAAAAGAUUGGAUGAUAUCUAGAUGUAAGAUCAGAAGUUGCAGGAAGUUCAUAUAUGUUCACAAACACAGGAGAUGGCCUGCAAGGCCAAAACUCAAUAAAAGUUGAAAAUGGCCAGUGUUGUGCUCAACAACAAGAAAGGACUUGUAAGAUAUGUUAGUAGCAAGAGGAGGCUCAAGGAAAACAAUAUACCGAUUCUUGUUGAAGAUAGUCCUGUGACAAAUAGAAAUACAGAAAAACUGGAGGUAUUCAGUGGUUUGGAGUUUUUUUCCCUCAGCCCUUAAUAAUACUGGUGAGACCUCAGAGUCAAAGGACCACAACUGCAGGAACAGUGACUCUCCAUUUGUGCACAGAAAUUGUAAGAGACCACCUGUAUUACCUGCGUCACUUUUCAUAACAUCAUGAGACCACGUGAGGUUCAUCCCAGAGUAUUGCAGGAGCUGUUGAAUGUGACAGCAGGAUCAAAAGUCAAAAGUCAUUGCUGUCUGGGAAGGUCCCCACUGAUUGGAAGUUGGCCAGUCAUUGCAAUUUAGAAAGGUGUGCUAGAAGACACAGGAAGCUACAGAUCUGUGAGUCUAACCUCAGCACCUGGAAAAAUUAUGGAGAAGAUACUACUGGUCAUGAAAGGCAUUUCAAGGAAACACAAGCAUCAGGCAUAGCACAGGUUCACAAAGGGAAGCCCUGUAUGAUUAAGCUAAGAUAUUUCUACAAUUAAGUCACCUGCCUAGUGAGUAAAGGGACAGAGGUGGAUGUUCUUUUCCUGGAUUUUCAUAAUGCUUUUGAUACUGUCCCUUAGAGCAUUGUUUUGGACAAGUUGUCCAGCUGUGAGAUGAACAGAUGCUCACUGUGCUUGGUGAAGAACUGGCUUGUUGACAUUCAGAAGCAUUUCCUUACUGAGAGGAUGGUUGCACACCGGAAAAGACUCCCUAAAAAGAUGGUUGAUGUCCCAUGCCUGAUGGUGCUUUAAAAGGAGGCAUUUGGACAGCACCCUCAAUAACAGGCUUUAACUGUUGGUCAGCUGUGAUCAGGCAAUGGGUCUAGAUUAGUCUUGUAUGCCCCUGCCAACUGGAACUAUUCUAUUAUCCCCUAAUUAAAAUUUUGUGAAAGCUGCUGAAGCAAAUGCAACUAGAAAAUAAAAAAACUUUUCAAAGCUGUUGCUCCUUUGCUGUGUUUCCUACUGUCAAUACUUUUUCUUCCAGGACUUCAGCCAGCAUCCAUUCACAGGCUUGUGACUGUUGUGCUCUGGGUUAUGGCCACUCAGGAUUUGAAGACCUGAGCAUCUCACUUCUGUGCUUUGUGAUUCUUACAGCAAUUUUGGUUCUAUUCCUUAUUUCUUUGUUUUUAUUCCAGUUUGAAACUCUCGAGUUUCAGUAGAUGCCACCAUCUCUCACCCUCCCAUGAAUCUGUUCCCACCCUUUUGAUGUGGGAUGUCCCCAUCCUUAGAAACAAUGGGUUGCACUGUGAGAGGUCCCAACACCUUGUCUGCUCCACAUUGAACCAGCCCCAGCUUCACAGAGCAUCUUUACUUUAAAGGAUAGAGCCUCUCUUAUUUGUCAAUCUGACGCCAGGACCCCAAAGAGGGUCCAGUGCCUGGAGAGGUCUGAUGCGUUCUGAGCAGAGGGAAUCACCCUAGUUCCUUCCACCUAGAGAAAAAAGAUAGGAGAAUACAUGCCAGAGCAAGCCAAGUGCUGCCUGUGACGCAUCGUGCGAGAAAGCAGAAGAGACCAAAGCGGUGGCCAGCAGUGUGGAGUGUAUGGAGAGCCUGUGGGAAUUUGUCCUGCAGCCUCUCAGGGAGGCACAAUUUGUUGCUGAAUGAGUCCUCUUGCUUCAUGUGCAUGGUGAUGUCUGUCACGGCCAGAGCAAACUGGCAGGACUCUGGGGAGGCAUAUCCAAAGCCUCAGUGACUGUCUUGUAACAUCAAUGUGAGUACAAGAUGACAAGAUGGGGAAUGGAGUUGGUGUAGAGGUAACCCCAAAUGCAUGUACUGAGACAGUGUACCAUGGGUGUUGAUGGCCGUUUGUGAUAUCACCUAGAGAUGGAUUGUGAUGCCCUUGAGGGAUAGAUUGUGACCCAGCAACCCUCUGGGUGCACCAAGUUGCACCCAGCCAGCUCAUGCCCAGAAACAUCUGAAGAACAGGAUGCCAUCCAGAGGGACCUAGUCAGGCUCAUGAAGUGGGCCCAUGGGAAACUCAUGAGGUUAAACAAGACCAAGUGCAAGGUUCAGACAUCUGGGACACCCAGGAGGUGCACUUGCAGCAGCAGAGGCGAGAGGAGACCCCAGACACCUUGACCUCCAUUUCUCUGGAGCAUCUCAAACAUGGGCUGCCGAAGGAGUGCCCAGGCAUCCCAUGGGCAGCCUCCAGCCUGAGGAAUGGAUGGUACUUUUCCGGGACCACCCAUGCCUCCUAGAUACCCUGGUGCUCUGGGUCCGACCGAGGCUGAGGCAGAUCUUCAGGAACAACUGGAUGGAGGCAGACCUUGUGGAGGACACUGUCCUGGACAUCCUGACCAACCAUGGAAUCGAUGAAGACCAGCUGAUCCAGAUGCUGGGGGUGUCCCUCCAAAACCAUGCGGCAACAUUUGUGCAACAGCUGAUCCGUGUUGCUGUGCGACAGUGCAGCAGGGAGGCCUGUCGUCUGCUCACCCACCAGCCCUAUCUCCCUGCCCAGGUGCCAGCCCUUCUCACAGCCCUGCAAGAUGCACCAUGGAUGAGGUGCCCAACACCCCCUCCUCUGCCAUGGAUGGGGAUUUCAGAAGCUGCCCCUCUGUACCCAUUACCAUCGCUGCUGGAGCAAGAAGAGCCCCAGGAGGAGCCAGAGGAGUCUGUUCCUGGGUCUUCCACUUCCAGACAGAGCAGUGACCCCUCUUCUGAGGGGCCAUGGUGACCUCUGAAGAGGUAGGCACGUGGCCCUGGGGUCUCUUCAGCUACCCCUGCACCUGUGACUUUGGAGGAUGCCUCAGAGGUUAGCCAAAUUGGGACCAGGCCACUAGCUGGAGCAUGCACCAACCCUCUAGGGCUCCCAGCCCCUCAUAUCCAGCUAUUCAAAUAAAAUCAAUGCAUGGAAACUCAAAAAAAGUCUCAACAUUACAAACAGGACAGGUGGCAUUUCUGUCCUUGUUAUUCUUCCAUCAGACAUGUGGAAGGCCCAUUCCUGUAGCCAGCCCCAGGGCAGACAUUUCCAACAGGAGGGUCUCCAGGUCCAGACUGUGCCCCACAGCCCAUUACCCCACGCCACUCACGAGCUCUUCAGUGCCAGUCCCUGCCCCCACAUCCUGGUUCUCUGCUCUCCUACCAGCCUGUGCUGCCCAGUGCAGCCUCACUAUGGCCACGACCAAUUCCCUGCCCAGCCUGGAGUCACAACUUGGUGCUGCUCUCUGUGUCGCCCAGGGUCAUACCCUGCCAAGGCAGGAGCCUCCAGAAGUUCAUGUAGGAGAAGCACAAAGUCCGGUUCCUGGGAAGGGGCAAUGCCAGACUGGCACAUGCAUCAGGGUGCACAGCUGGUGAGCAGCCCAGACAAGGCAACCAUAUUGCUCUUAAGCACAGAUUAUCCUCCCACUGGUCCAGAUCCAGCCUCAGUGCUGCUAUUUCUGCUCUCCUUAGAGAGGGCCUAUCUGUGCCAGAUGGAUGCCAAGCAGCUGAAAGCUUUGUUUGUCUAGUUUGGAGAGAAAGAGUUUGAGGGUGACUUCACUGCUCUCUACAGCUUCCUGAGGAGGGAAAGUGGAAAGGGGUUUGGUGAUCCCUUCUCCCUGGGAUCCAGUGACAGCAGAGGUGGGAAUAGUUCAAAGCUGCAUCAGGAAAUGUUCAGACUGGACAUAAGAAAAUAUUUCUUUACUGUGAGUGUAGUCAGACACUGAAACAAGCUCCCUGUCUGCCAGUGCCUUAAAAUGCCCUACAUGACGUGCUUUAACUUCUGGUCAACCCUGAAAUAGUGAGGCAGUGGGACUAGAUUAUCAUUGUAGGUCCAUGACAACUUGAAAUAUCCCAUUCUGAUACCUGUCUAUACCAUCAAAUAAGUGGUGUUUGCCCUCUUCCUCUUUAUUUUCAGUGACAUAAGUGUUAUUUAAUGAAAAAGCUAAGAAUUUAUUGCUUAAGUAAUCUCAUUACAGAAAAUGAGAAAAUGUAAACAAUUCCUUCCAGUCCCAUGCGAUACUGACAGUUCAUAUAUGUUGUCUGUUAUUGUCACUUGUCCAAUAUGGUUUUGCUCACACAAAUAUUGAUGAUGUUUGCUUGUUCACAUUUUUAACCAUGAGGCUCUUAUAGAACAUAUGUCACCAAGUUAUUAUUGAGUUCAUGUAUUAUCUAUUCAUGCGUAUAGUGUCAAGAACACAGAGGAAGGAAAACAGUGUUCUGUCAUUGCAUUUUAUCAUCUUUUUAGCUCUUAGGUGUGAUACAAUAUUACACUUUGAUAUUUUCUGAUUUUUAUACAAAGCAUUUAUGUCUCAGCUUUCAGGGUUUCAUAACAGAACUGCCAUGGAAAUGAAUGCAUUAUGUUCUCAGCAUAUUUAUAUACCAAAUGUAAGAGAAUUUUUGGAGGUCCAGAUUUUUAGAAACUUGUUUAGCAUCAUGCCUCAGAAAGUAGACAUAAUGGAUACUGAUGCUGGCACAUACAGAUAGUGGGGUAGCCUGAUUGUUUUAUGUGUAAAUUAUUAAGUGAGAUGCCCAUUUGCACAUCUAAGAAUCUGAAUAACAUGAAAAGGUCUAAUAGCUGGAUAAUGUUUUGAGUUGUGCAUUGAUUUGUCAGGGGAGUGAGAGAUGGUGGACGAAACAUUGACCUUGCUAUCUGAAUGUUGGUGGUAUUAGAUGGCCAUUUAGCUUCCUCAGAAUGUUUGGACUGAUGCAGGCUUUUUCAGGUAAGGUCUCUUUCAGAUGCACUAGAAGCAGGGAGGAUGCUUGCAUGCAGGAGACAUACUCGCAUCAAAUCAUGGCAAAGUCCCAUGCCCUGUGCUCUUCCCAGGCACUUCUGUUUGUAAUCCUGUGGAGCUCCAUAGUGUUUCAGAGGGAAUUACUACAACUCUAGUGACAGCAUUGUGAUCAGUGCAGGGGUAAUAGCUGGGCAAUUAAUAAAAAACAUAGAAGCAUUCCCACUAUUUUUUGGAGUCCUAAAACCAAAUGUCCUUUGACACUUUCUCUUCCAAGCAAAUAAACACUAUGCCUCUACUCUGACCUUUUGCUCCUAAUUCACCAAGAUUUUCUAGAGGCUGUCAUUGAAUAAAUAUUAGUUGAGUAUCUGGCUACUUUCUGUUUUGCAGUGAGGAAGUCCUUUACAGUUCCAGUGAUAUGUAUAAAGUGACUUAUGUAUCACUGUUUUGUCAUGAGAAGUAGCCUUAGAGAUAGAACAAUCAGUAGGAAUUUGUGCCAGGAGGGCAACUGUAAAGUGUCUAUCCUGGCGAUGUUACUUCUCUUGAGUGAGUCCCUUCUUGUACACAGAAAAAGUCUACUUCAUCAAGGGGAAUAGAACUUAACACUGAGUUAAAAGCUCUAGGAUUCUGCCUGGUGUUUUUAACUUUUGAUUUGGCAUUGAAAUGGAACAAUAUGUUACUCAUUCUUAUGCAAGAAAUACCAAAAAUUCUUUUGUUGCAUUCUUGUAGUUACCAAUCUUGUAUUGUGCAAUAAGCUAUCAAAGUAUUUUUCAAACAAUAUAGUAAUAAUAAAGGUCAUAUUAACUGGA